AAAAAAAGAAUUGAUUUGGCUAGAAAAGAAAUUCAAAUUUGCCGCCUAAAUUUGAGUGUUGAGGUGUGUUCAAUGCUUGGUUUCGCAUUAAGUACCCGUCAAAUUUGAGGGAGAAAAGGGGUGUGGGUGUUGGGUAGUCAGCACAUAUGCACAUAUCAGGUAAAAGUGUAAUGGGACUUGUGCAGGUGUUUGGGGUGACUUUAGACCUGUUAGAUGUGAUAUUUGGAGGUGCAAAGAAACCGGAUGUGCCAUUUUCCUAGAUUGUAGUAACUGCUGGUGCAUGCUGGGAGUCUAUACAAGCCUCAUGUUGUCAGAUGUUGUGAAGAUGCACUGGAUUUGACCGUGUGUGUUGUGGAUUGUGGAAUUGAAUAUACAGUUUGUAAUGGCUCAUCCUAUGUGUUCUAAUUCACGGAGACAAUGUCUUUCAGUCAUUUCACCCAAGGAGGCAUGCGUAUACGGAUUUAUAGGCUUUGACAACAAACAACCAAAAUGGCGGCCGGUGAAUUAGAAAGUGUCUGAGUGCAUGUAGGAUAUCUGAACGGAGAAUAGGAGUACUGCAUCCCAUCUGAUCCUGCAGUCAUUUCACCCAAGGAGGCAUGCAUAUACGGAUUGAUAGGCUUUGACAACAAACAACCAAAAUGGCGGCCGGUGAAUUAGAAAGUGUCUGAGUGCAUGUAGGAUAUCUGAACGGAGAAUAGGAGUACUGCAUCCCAUCUGAUCCUGCAGGUAAGUGUUUAUUUGUUUACAAUGACAGUCAGGAUGGAAUGUCAAUGAGUUCAACUGUCAAGUAAAGUUGCAUCAUCAUUAUAAAAAAAACAAACUUAGUCUUUAUGUUGAUGCAGGCAGACAAUUGAAUCUGGCCUAUGUCUUUUCAUGAAUGUAAAUGGAAUUCAUGUUUGAUUGACAAGACAGUCAAGAAAUGGAAGAAAUGGGUGUAGGUCAGAUGUGUAGGUGUAGGUCAGAUUAGCUAGAAUCCUGUAAUUGUUGCAUGGCAUGAGACUGGUCAAAAUAGUGUAUUGAAACAGCUGAUCACAGACAGAUCACUUGAAGGGUGGGGGGUUUCUUCCUUGGGGACGACAGGCGUGAUGGGUGGGUUGGCCUUACUCGUGGAGACUGGCCCCUGGAUGCGUGACCUUGACCUUUGACCUUGACCCACUUUCAAGGUCAAACCUCAAAAAUCCUGUUGUUGGGCAUGAAACCGGUCAAAAUAGUGUAUUAUAAACAGCUGAUCACAGACAGAUCACUUGAAGGGUGGGGGGGUUUCUUCCUUGGGGACGACAGGCGUGAUGGGUGGGUUGGCCUUACUCGUGGAGACUGGCCCCUGGAUGCGUGACCUUGACCUUUGACCUUGACCCACGUUCAAGGUCAAACUUCAAAAACCCAUGGGGGAGAAAAUGUGACCUUGACCUUUGACCUGAUUUUGAAGGUCAGAGAGGUCACGGGGCUUCGUUUAAGUGGUCCCGCGUCUCUAUCUACAUCCGUGAAGAAGUUGUGGGCUCGAACGACGACGUCGGAGACUUUCGGGGGCGAGAACCAUGCUUCGGGGUUCUCGGUUUCCCCCGGUCAACUUCUCUGUGCGAGAGUGUUUCAUCUGGAAUUCGUCGGCGAAGGUCUCGCCUCUCCACGACUUGCGGUCUGGUGGGAGUAGCGAUAACGGGGUUUUCGACGUUAAGUCGCCGCCUUUCGCAGAGCGGUCAAAGUUCAGAGUUGUAAUUCAGGAUUCCGAGACCGGUCCAGAAUUCCAUGCUGACCCAUGUGAUAUUUCGAUGCUAUCUGAAGCGGGAAAGAGCGUAUAAAAAGUGCCAUUUUCUGGCCAUUCUGGAUGACCUUGACCUUUGACCUUGACCUACUUUUUCAAGGUCAAGGUCACCCAACCCGUCCCAGUGGGUUCCGUCUCUCUACGACGAAGACUUUAGGAGUCGUCAAUUUGUAGGGGACAAAUCGCAAAACAUGAGGGGGCAUUAACUCCCUUUAGGGGACACCGAAUCCCUUCAUUUGAAAUUCUUCGCUUCUACUCAUUGACCUCUAUGCUUCAGCAAAGGUUUCAUCCUCCUAUCCUUUACGGUUAAAAAGGAGUAGCGAUAACAAUGAUUUCUGCUAACAGGUCCGAUAACUCUGUAAGGGGUCAAAGUUCCAUGACGCAGGGUGAAAUGUCUUCGUUUCUCAAGAAGUGCUCUAGGAUGGACUCUAAAGUUUU